ensembl:lncRNA
UAUAAAUAAAAUAUAUUAUUAUUAUUAUUAUUAUUAUUAUUAUUAUUAUUAUUAUUAUUAUUAUUAUUAUUAAUUAAAAUAAACUGUAUUUGUGUCCUCAGCAAGGUUUUUUGUUUUUUUUCCUGCAGUGUUUGUUGUUUGUAAUUGUUGUAAUUGUAAUUGUUUUUCAUUUUACACGGCAGAUUCACCAAUUCAAACCACUCAGAUUCAGAAUGAAGUUCUCAGAGUUGUGCGUGGAUCUGACGUGUCUUUGCGAUGUGACGUUCCUCUCCUGUCUAAUUCCUCCACUUUACACUGGGAGAAAGAUGGAGAACAAACACCCAACAGCACUCUGAUGUACAACACCUCUGCCUACAUCAUCUUACACACCGUUGAUGAACGCAGUGAAGGGAAAUAUUACUGUAGAUUGAUGCAAGAUGGAAGCGUACGAACUGUUAGGAUUCACACACUUAAUGUUACUCCAUAUUCAGAUGGAAAAAGUCAAAGUCAAACCAUUUCCAUUCAAAGCCCCAGUCAUAGCUCCAGUAAUACCAAUGUAUCACUGAUCUGCAAGUCUGCAACGGAGUCUCCUGAUGGUGUGUUGAGGAUUCAGUCAGUGGAUCUUACCUGUGAAGUUUCUGAAGUAAAUGAUUCAGUGACGCUGGUCUGGCUCAGGAUGGAGGGGAACAGAGGAGUGCUGGUCAAACAGCAAACUAUGACUGAGAAAAACACCAUGUUACGUCUCACAGUGAAUCUAUCCAACUCUAAAACAGACCCGCUGCACUGGCAGUGUGCAGUUUUUACUAAGAAUACACUCAGAGCUCUGGUCCCUAUAACAAUCAAUUGUACCUCAUCAAAUACAACUGCUCCAACAGAAAGCUCAGCUGUAACAAACGAAGUAAUCCAAAAAGUGUUUUGCUGUGUUUUGACUCUAUCUAUUGGGAUGUUGCUUGGAGCUCUAUUCAAUUACUGCUACAGGAAACGAAAGUCAGUGCACUCUGGCCCUCAGGAAUCUGAACCAGUCUAUAUGAAUAUCAACCAUAUGGGACAUGAAAGAGGAAAAGGAAGCAUGAAUAAAAGAGAGGAGACACCGGAUACAUCAGACAGUUUGACCUACACGACCAUUGUUUACAACCAAUUCAAUUCAAUUCAAUUCAAUCUAUAAUGAAAACCUGAGAAAGACACAAUUUCAUUUCAUAAUUGUUUUAUUUUUAUAAAUGAACCUCAAACCAAUAUCUCACAGAGAAAGUAUAAACAUUUUCUUUAUUAAAAAGCAGAUGGCGCUGUCUGGUCACAAAAGAUAUAAUCUGGGAAUGCAUUUCGAGAUUCUCAGACCUCACUGCAUUCAUUAAACCACCAGCACAAAUAUUAAUCCUACUGACUGAAACUGAAUAAUUGCAUCCUGUUAUUAAUGUUGUGUUAAUCACAUUUGUAAAAGCAUUAACUAUGCAGCCAAAUAUUAUCAUGAUUUUGCAUUUGUUAUAUUAUAGGUGCCUUCAUAUAUGUGCAUGCAUACUGUUGAAAUGGCCAUUUGAUGGCACUGUUUGAAAACAUUCUUGAAUAAUGAUAAUAAAUUGUAAGUACUAAAAACGAUAAUGCAGUUACAUCCUCUUCUCUCUCACUUUCUCUGUCUGUCACUUUCAUCCUCCUGGAAUCCACCCAGAACAUGCUGCUUCAUUGUACUUCAAUCUAAAACACAAAAGUGUGGAAAAAAAGUAGUUUGAAUAGGAUGUCUUUAUGGACAAGGGAUAAUGCUCCUAGCUAACUCAAGGUUGCUCUGCUUUGUAUUAACGUGUGUCUUUAUUUAAACAUGGUGGGGAGGAUUUAGGUCUGCUAAGUAUAACCACUGAGUGAUGAAGAAUCCAAAUGCACAUACAUGAUGUUAUACGGGGAGGAGAAAGGCAGAUGUUGACAGAAAGGGCUGCAUAUAAGGAAACAAAAUAACCACAACUUUGUCCCCGAAAUGUAGGCUUCAAAUAAUCCCAUUUUAUUAAAGUCCUGACCACAUCAUGCUGUAAAGACUUAUUACGAGGAGCAUCAUGAGUUUGGUCAAGAUGGGUAGACUCUUAUCUAAAGUCUUACUUUCAACUACUGACAAUCACAGCACCUUUCUAGUUAAGCAAAGCUUUUCUGCUCAACAUAAUCUCCUCAACUUUAAAUUAAUAUAUUCAAUAUCCUAAAUCACUUUACUCUAUCCAUCAUUCGAGACACUUCAGCUGUUUCUGAUCCCCCCUUGAUUUGAUCCAUGGUAAACUACACACCAUCACCUGUCCUAGCAAAAACAGACUCUUUCUUUAAUGCUGAGCAACAGCCAGAAAGUACACAAAUUAAGUGAAUUCCUCUGUGGUCCAACCAUCCUGUAAAUGCCCUGAAAUUAUAUAACCUGCUGUAUGUCAGAUUCACACAAUUUUACACAUAAUUCAUAAAGCAGCAC